AUGAACGCUGGCGGCGUGCCUAAUACAUGCAAGUCGAGCGAACGGACGAGAAGCUUGCUUCUCUGAUGUUAGCGGCGGACGGGUGAGUAACACGUGGAUAACCUACCUAUAAGACUGGGAUAACUUCGGGAAACCGGAGCUAAUACCGGAUGAUAUUUUGAACCGCAUGGUUCAAAAGUGAAAGACGGUCUUGCUGUCACUUAUAGAUGGAUCCGCGCUGCAUUAGCUAGUUGGUAAGGUAACGGCUUACCAAGGCAACGAUGCAUAGCCGACCUGAGAGGGUGAUCGGCCACACUGGAACUGAGACACGGUCCAGACUCCUACGGGAGGCAGCAGUAGGGAAUCUUCCGCAAUGGGCGAAAGCCUGACGGAGCAACGCCGCGUGAGUGAUGAAGGUCUUCGGAUCGUAAAACUCUGUUAUUAGGGAAGAACAUAUGUGUAAGUAACUGUGCACAUCUUGACAGUACCUAAUCAGAAAGCCACGGCUAACUACGUG
rnacentral:rRNA from 1 species